UAGUCCACGCCGUAAACGAUGAUUACUGGUUGUGCGCGAUACACAGUGCGUGACUGAGGGAAACCAUUAAGUAAUCCACCUGGGGAGUACGUUGGCAACAAUGAAACUCAAAGGAAUUGACGGGGGCCCGCACAAGCGGAGGAACAUGUGGUUUAAUUCGAUGAUACGCGAGGAACCUUACCUGGGCUUAAAUGUAGAGUGCAUUAUUUGGAAACAGAUAUUUUCUUCGGAACUCUUUACAAGGUGCUGCAUGGUUGUCGUCAGCUCGUGCCGUGAGGUGUCGGGUUAAGUCCCAUAACGAGCGCAACCCCUAUCGUUAGUUGCUAGCAGGUAAUGCUGAGGACUCUAGCGAAACUGCCGGUGUAAACCGAGAGGAAGGUGGGGAUGACGUCAAAUCAGCACGGCCCUUAUGUCCAGGGCUACACACGUGUUACAAUGGUCGGUACAAAGGGCAGCUACACAGCGAUGUGAUGCUAAUCUCAAAAGCCGAUCUCAGUUCGGAUCGG
rnacentral:rRNA from 1 species